rnacentral:rRNA from 1 species
AACGAACGCUGGCGGCAGGCCUAACACAUGCAAGUCGAGCGCUCACCUUCGGGUGGGAGCGGCGGACGGGUUAGUAACGCGGGGGAACAUACCCUUCACUAUGGAAUAGCCUCGGGAAACUGAGAGUAGUACCAUAUACGCCCUUCGGGGGAAAGAUUUAUCGGUGAAGGAUUGGCCCGCGUUUGAUUAGAUAGUUGGUGGGGUAAUGGCCUACCAAGUCUACGAUCAAUAGCUGGUUUGAGAGGAUGAUCAGCAACACUGGGACUGAGACACGGCCCAG